rnacentral:rRNA from 1 species
AUUGAACGCUGGCGGCAGGCCUAACACAUGCAAGUCGAGCGAGCGGCGGACGGGUGAGUAAUGUAUGGGGACUGCCCGAUAGAGGGGGAUAACUACUGGAAACGGUGGCUAAUACCGCAUACUAUCGGAUAACCCAUAUGGGAUUAGCUAGUAGGUGGGGUGAAGGCUCACCUAGGCGACGAUCUCUAGCUGGUCUGAGAGGAAGAUCAGCCACACUGGUGAUGAGACACGGGCCAGACUCCUACGGAGGCAGCCUGGGGGAAUUUUUGACAAAGGGCGCAAGCCUGAUUCAGCCAUUCCGGGUGUAUGAAAGAGGCCUUGGGGUUUUAAAGUUCUUUCAGCGGGGAGGCGUUACCCGCAGGAGGAGCACCGGCUAACUUCGUGCCAGCAGCCGCGGUAAUAC